AUCUAACAUGAUGAGCAAUAACUUUCGCCCCUAGCUGAAAAUUUAACUUCUCAUGUUGAAUGCGAAUGAUUGGUCUUACUGAAAAUUUUUU